AGGAGUGAUAGAGAGAGAGAGGAGUGAGAGAAAUAGCGUAGAGAGAGUAGAGAGAGAAAAAGGAGUGAGCGAGCGAGAAAUAGAGUAGAGAGAGGAGUGAGCGAGCAAGAAAUAGAGUAGAGAGGAGUGAGAGAGGAGUGAGAGGAGAGAGAGGAGAGAGAGAGAAGUGAGAGAGAAGUGAGAGAAGUGAGAGAGAGGAGAGAGAGAAGUGAGAGAGAGGAGAGAGAAAAGUGAGAGAGAGGAGAGAGAGAAGUGAGAGAGAGGAGAGAGAGGAGUGAUAGAGAGGAGAGAGAGGAGAGAGAAAGAGAGAGGGAGGAGUGAGAGAGAGGGAGGAGUGAGAGAGAGGAGUGAUAGAGAGAGAGAGAGAGAGAGAGAGGAGUGAGAGAAAUAGCGUAGAGAGAGUAGAGAGAGAAAAAGGAGUGAGCGAGCGAGAAAUAGAGUAGAGAGAGGAGUGAGCGAACAAGAAAUAGAGUAGAGAGAGGAGUGAGCGAGCAAGAAAUAGAGUAGAGAGAGGAGUGAGCGAGCAAGAAAUAGAGUAGAGAGAGGAGUGAGCGAGCAAGAAAUAGAGUAGAGAGAGGAGUGAGCGAGCAAGAAAUAGAGUAGAGAGAGGAGUGAGCGAGCAAGAAAUAGAGUAGAGAGAGGAGUGAGCGAGCAAGAAAUAGAGUAGAGAGAGGAGUGAGCGAGCAAGAAAUAGAGUAGAGAGAGGAGUGAGCGAGCAAGAAAUAGAGUAGAGAGAGGAGUGAGCGAGCAAGAAAUAGAGUAGAGAGAGGAGUGAGCGAGCAAGAAAUAGAGUAGAGAGAGGAGUGAGCGAGCAAGAAAUAGAGUAGAGAGGAGUGAGCGAGCAAGAAAUAGAGUAGAGAGAGGAGUGAGCGAGCAAGAAAUAGAGUAGAGAGAGGAGUGAGCGAGCAAGAAAUAGAGUAGAGAGAGGAGUGAGCGAGCAAGAAAUAGAGUAGAGAGAGGAGUGAGCGAGCAAGAAAUAGAGUAGAGAGAGGAGUGAGCGAGCAAGAAAUAGAGUAGAGAGGAGUGAGAGAGGAGUGAGAGGAGAGAGAGGAGAGAAGUGAGAGAGAAGUGAGAGAAGUGAGAGAGAGGAGAGAGAGAAGUGAGAGAGAGGAGAGAGAGAAGUGAGAGAGAGGAGAGAGAGAAGUGAGAGAGAGGAGAGAGAGGAGUGAUAGAGAGGAGAGAGAGGAGAGAGAAAGAGAGAGGGAGGAGUGAGAGAGAGGGAGGAGUGAGAGAGAGAAAUAGAGUAGAGAGAAAUAGAGUAGAGAGAGUAGUGAGAGAGAGAAAGAGAGUAGAGAGGAGUGAGAGAGAAAUAGAGUAGAUAAAGAGAGAAUAGAGAGAGAAAUAACAUAACUGAAACCCAUGUGAACCAAGAUAGCCAUCUUGUAGUCAUAUUACUAGAGCUCCAAUAUCCUUGUAGAAUUCAUAGUCUGUGGUAGGGUCUGCCUCGAACAACGUGUCAGGGUAGACUUACGGGUUGGUGUGUGGAGUGUAUGAGGAAACUGUGUGUAUGAGGAGUGUGUGUGUGACUCACUUG